GAUGAACGCUGGCGGCGUGCCUAAUACAUGCAAGUCGAGCGAACAGACGAGGAGCUUGCUCCUAUGACGUUGGCGGCGGAGGGGAGAGUAACACGUGGAUAACCUACCUCUAAGACUGGGGAAACUUCGGGAGACGGGAGCUAAAACCGGAAGAUAUAUUGAACGGCGUGGUGCCAUAGUGAAAGAAGGUUUUGGUGUCAGUAAUAGCUGGAUACGCUCCGGAUUCGGUAGUUGGUAAGGUAAAGGCUUACCAAAGCAGGGAUGCGUAACCGGCCUCAGAGGGAGAACGGCUACACUGGAACGGAGACACGGCCCACACACUUACGGUAGGCAGCAGUACGGAAUCUUCCGCAAGGCGGCAAAGCGGGACGGUGCAACGCCGCGUGAGGGCUGAAGGUCCUCUGAUCGUAAAGCUCUGUUAUUCGUAAAGAUCAAAUGUGUAAGUAACUAUGCACGUCUUGACGGUACCGAAUCAGAAAGCUCCGGCUAACUACGUG
rnacentral:rRNA from 1 species